UGUGACGAGCAGUCAUAAACUUAGUGACAGGAUUUUGGUUAAUAAAAAUUGAUUUUGCUCAGAGCGUUUGUAACAAAUUAGUGACGGUAACCUUAUCUUGAGGGUCAGUGACGGGAUUAAUGAUAAAUAUAGUGACAAAAUGUGUGACCAUGUUUGUGAGGACUAAAUCUGUCACUGAAGGUUGUGACAGAUCAGUGAC
rnacentral:lncRNA from 1 species